UGCCUGGUAGCGGGGGAUAACUAUUGGAAACGAUAGCUAAUACCGCAUAACAGUAGAUGUUGCAUGACAUUUGCUUAAAAGGUGCAAUUGCAUCACUACCAGAUGGACCUGCGUUGUAUUAGCUAGUUGGUGGGGUAACGGCUCACCAAGGCGACGAUACAUAGCCGACCUGAGAGGGUGAUCGGCCACACUGGGACUGAGACACGGCCCAGACUCCUACGGGAGGCAGCAGUAGGGAAUCUUCGGCAAUGGACGGAAGUCUGACCGAGCAACGCCGCGUGAGUGAAGAAGGUUUUCGGAUCGUAAAGCUCUGUUGUAAGAGAAGAACGAGUGUGAGAGUGGAAAGUUCACACUGUGACGGUAUCUUACCAGAAAGGGACGGCUAACUACGUGCCAGCAGCCGCGGUAAUACGUAGGUCCCGAGCGUUGUCCGGAUUUAUUGGGCGUAAAGCGAGCGCAGGCGGUUAGAUAAGUCUGAAGUUAAAGGCUGUGGCUUAACCAUAGUACGCUUUG
rnacentral:rRNA from 1 species